UACGGAGGAAAAGAAACCAACAGGGAUUACCUCAGUAACGGCGAGUGAAGCGGUAAAAGCUCAAAUUUGAAAUCUGGCUCUUUUAGAGUCCGAAUUGUAAUUUGUAGAAGAUGCUUCGGGUGUGGUUCCGGUCUAAGUUCCUUGGAACAGGACGUCAUAGAGGGUGAGAAUCCCGUAUGUGACUGGAUACCUAUGCUCAUGUGAAGCUCUUUCGACGAGUCGAGUUGUUUGGGAAUGCAGCUCAAAAUGGGAGGUAUAUUUCUUCUAAAGCUAAAUAUUGGCCAGAGACCGAUAGCGCACAAGUAGAGUGAUCGAAAGAUGAAAAGCACUUUGGAAAGAGAGUUAAACAGUACGUGAAAUUGUUGAAAGGGAAGCGCUUGCAAUCAGACUUGCACUUGGUGUUCAUCAGGGUCUCGUACCCUGUGUACUUCAUCAAGUUCAGGCCAGCAUCAGUUUGAGUGGUUAGAUAAAGGCUUAGAGAAUGUGGCCCUCUUCGGGGGGUGUUAUAGCUCUAGGUGCAAUGUAGCCUACUUGGACUGAGGACCGCGCUUCGGCUAGGAUGCUGGCGUAAUGGUUGUAAGCGACCCGUCUUGAA
rnacentral:rRNA from 1 species